rnacentral:tRNA from 1 species
AUCCUUAUAGCUUAUAGAAAGAGUAUGGCUUUGAAGAUGCUAUGGAGAUUAAAUAAUCUAAGGAUA